AUUGAACGCUGGCGGCAGGCCUAACACAUGCAAGUCGAACGAGCGGCGGACGGGUGAGUAAUGUAUGGGAAACUGCCCGAUGGAGGGGGAUAACUACUGGAAACGGUAGCUAAUACCGCAUACCAUCGGAUGUGCCCAUAUGGGAUUAGCUAGUAGGUGGGGUAAAGGCUCACCUAGGCGACGAUCCCUAGCUGGUCUGAGAGGAUGAUCAGCCACACUGGAACUGAGACACGGCCCAGACUCCUACGGUAGGCAGCAGUGGGGAAUAUUGCACAAUGGGCGCAAGCCUGAUGCAGCCAUGCCGCGUGUAUGAAGAAGGCCUUAGGGUUGUAAAGUACUUUCAGCGGGGAGGCGUUACUCGCAGAAGAAGCACCGGCUAACUCCGUGCCAGCAGCCGCGGUAAUUC
rnacentral:rRNA from 1 species